rnacentral:rRNA from 1 species
GUUCUGUCUGUAUCAGCCAGACCUCUCCUCUCGGGUAUCGGCGCCGUCUCGAGCUUUCGCACCGCCUAAUUCCCAAACCCGGCGCCGCCGUGUUACCCCUUCCCCUACGCCCACGGUCGCGCCUCCAGGCCUCGUCCUAAAGCGCGCCACGCCGAAUUCUUCUCCCCCUCCCACCCCCCUCUGCCCGAUUGGCCUGGCGUGGAGAUCCACCCCCGCGGAUUUUCUCUUCUUGGUCCUGAGACAUGUCUCACUACCAGGAGCACAAUGUUGAUGACAUGGAGGAUGAUUACGACAUGGAUGAUCCGGUAGAUGACAUGGAUGGUGAAGAUUACCUAGGGCCGGAGGCUAGGGACGACUCUGAUGAGGAGGAUGACGAGGAUGCCGAAGCGAAUAAGGCAUCCGACACAUCAUCUGAAGAAGCAAGACGUGGAAAAGACAUUCAAGGAAUACCAUGGGAUCGCUUGGAACUUACCAGAGAAGGAUACAGGGAGACAAGAUUAUUACAGUACAAAAAUUACGAGAAUGUACCUAAUUCUGCAGAAGCAGCAAUGAAGGCAUGCAAAUCUACUGAGAAAGACGGAACAUAUUAUGAGUUCAGGCGAAAUACUAGAUCAGUAAAAUCUACUAUUCUACACUUUCAGCUGAGAAAUUUAGUAUGGGCUACAUCCAAGCAUGAUGCCUACCUAAUAUCGCAUUACUCGGUGCUACACUGGUCAGCCUUGAGUGGUGUGGACACAGAAAUUAUGAAUGUCGAAGGGCAUAUUGCACCAAGUGAGAAACAUCCAGGAAGUUUAUUAGAAGGGUUUUCUCAGACUCAAGUUAGUACGCUGGCAGUCAAGGAUAAUUUGCUAGUAGCUGGUGGUUUCCAAGGAGAGCUAAUAUGCAAAAACCUGGACCAAGAAGGAAUAAGCUUUUGCUGCAGGACAACAUAUGAUGAUAAUGCAAUCACCAAUGCAGUGGAGAUAUUCAACACCUCUAGUGGUGCUGUUCACUUCAUUGCAUCUAUUAACGACUCCGGUGUAAGAGAAUAUGAUAUGGAAAGAUACCAGUUAUGUAAGCAUUUCCGCUUUGAUUGGCCAGUGAAUCACACGUCUUUGAGCCCUGAUGGGAAGCUUGUUCUCGUUGUCGGGGAUGACCCAGAUGCUUUGCUUAUUGAUGCUAAUUCAGGAAAGGCUAUUCAUUCUAUGAAAGGUCACUUGGAUUUCUCAUUUGCAUCGGCUUGGAGCCCUGAUGGCCGGACAUUUGCCACUGGCAAUCAAGACAGGACAUGCCGGGUUUGGGAUGCCAGAAAUCUCUCGCAGUCUCUCCAUGUCUUGAGGGGUAACCUUGGUGCUAUAAGAUCUAUUCGCUACACAUCAGAUGGUCAGUUCCUGUCGAUGGCGGAGCCGGCAGACUUUGUCCACAUCUUUGAUGUCAAAAGUGAUUAUAACAAGAGGCAAGAGCUGGAUUUCUUUGGUGAGAUAUCUGGCAUGUCUUUCAGCCCUGACACGGACACGCUCUUCGUCGGUGUUUGGGACAGGACCUACGGCAGCCUACUUCAGUAUGGCCGCCUCUAUAACUACUCAUACCUUGACUCGCUGUUCUAAGGUCAAUGCAAACAAGUGUUGGUUGGGCCUCUUGUGUGUCACUUCUGCCGAUUUUCGUCGGCGCCGACUAUUAGGUACUCCAUAAUCAGAUUUAUGUUAUAGAUUGGUCAUUCUUUAAUAAUUCAUGUAUCCUGUGUUAUGUGUACAAAAGAAAUGUAUACAGAUAUAGCUUUGCUUUGAGGUAGGAGUUGUAAGUUAUGUUUCUAGGGCUAGUUUGCUCCAUGAAUCUGGAUGUAAACUUUUACCUGAGAUGUGUACCUUGAACAUCUCCUACUGCAUUGACCGAAACCGGUAUGCUUCGGUGGUAUGUGCUAUGCCGCAGUUGUGUGGAGCAGUUUGGAUUGUAUAAUUGAG